rnacentral:rRNA from 1 species
UACGGGGGGGCAAGCGUUGUUCGGAAUUACUGGGCGUAAAGGGCUCGUAGGCGGCCAACUAAGUCAGACGUGAAAUCCCUCGGCUUAACCGGGGAACUGCGUCUGAUACUGGAUGGCUUGAGUUUGGGAGAGGGAUGCGGAAUUCCAGGUGUAGCGGUGAAAUGCGUAGAUAUCAGGAGGAACACCGGUGGCGAAGGCGGGUCUCUGGGCCAAUACUGACGCUGAGGAGCGAAAGCGUGGGGAGCGAACAGG